GGUCACGAGUGCCAGCGCUAAACCCCGGUUUGCUGGCCGGCAACCCUCCUUCCGUGGCGGGGUGCCCCGGGUGAAGACCUGGCCCGCCGAACAGCUGUCGGCGGGCAAGCACGAGGU
rnacentral:ncRNA from 2 species